UACGAAGGGGGCUAGCGUUGUUCGGAAUUACUGGGCGUAAAGCGCACGUAGGCGGACUGUCAAGUCAGGGGUGAAAUCCCGGGGCUCAACCUCGGAACUGCCUCUGAUACUGUCAGUCUAGAGUCCGGAAGAGGUGGGUGGAAUUCCUAGUGUAGAGGUGAAAUUCGCAGAUAUUAGGAAGAACACCGGUGGCGAAGGUGGCCCACUGGUCCGGAACUGACGCUGAGGUGCGAAAGCGCGGGUAGCAAACAGG
rnacentral:rRNA from 1 species